rnacentral:lncRNA from 1 species
GGUAAUAGUGAGCCUCCCAUAACCCGCUACGAGCUUUCUUUGAAAACUCCCGGAUUCCAUCUUGAGGGAUAUGGAAUUUGCCAAAAAUGGUGGGUGGUGUCAUUCGGUUUAAAGACCCGAAUCGUUUGACUUAAUCGACAAUCAAACUAAUUAUUUUAUUGUUUAUGUAUUUAGAUAUGGUUGGAAGCACACUUGCGAAAAUACGCGACAAACAUUGCCUAGAGGGGCACAAUUUCCCAUCGUGGUAACGUAAUGUCAAGAUUCU